AGCACAUUGCAUUUUAGACAUUACUUUCCCUGCAUUCACAUUCACAAAAAGAACAAUUAUUAAUGUUUGUUUGUCUGAGUUAUAUUAUACUAGGAGUGCAAAAUGACGAAAACGCCCUCACGUUUAACACCAUCUCAUGCUACUCUCAACGGUAAGUUCAAAACCAGUUAACUUUUGAACCCUAUGAAUAACAUUUAUCUGAGUUAUUAUACUAUAAGUGUAAAAAGACGAAAAUGCCCUCCCAUUUAACACUAUCUCUCAUGCUAGUCUCAAUGGUAAGU